rnacentral:rRNA from 1 species
UGCAAGUCGAGCGGCAGCGCGGGGAGGGGCAACUCUCCCUGGCGGCGAGCGGCGAACGGGUGAGUAAUACAUCGGAACGUGUCCAGUUGUGGGGGAUAACCAGUCGAAAGACUGGCUAAUACCGCAUACGAUCUACGGAUGAAAGCGGGGGACUCUUGGGUAACUGAGGGCCUCGCGCUAUUGGAGCGGCCGAUGUCCGAUUAGCUAGUUGGCGGGGUAACGGCCCACCAAGGCGACGAUCGGUAGCUGGUCUGAGAGGAUGAUCAGCCACACUGGAACUGAGACACGGUCCAGACUCCUACGGGAGGCAGCAGUGGGAAAUUUUGGACAAUGGGGGCAACCCUGAUCCAGCCAUGCCGCGUGAGUGAAGAAGGCCUUCGGGUUGUAAAGCUCUUUCGGCGGGGACGAAACGGUUCGUGACAACACCACGGACUAAUGACGGUACUCGCAGAAGAAGCACCGGCUAACUACGUGCCAGCAGCCGCGGUAAUACGUAGGGUGCAGGCGUUAAUCGGAAUUACUGGGCGUAAAGCGUGCGCAGGCGGCUCCUUAAGUCAGAUGUGAAAGCCCCGGGCUUAACCUGGGAACUGCGUUUGAAACUGGGGAGCUGGAGUGUAGAAGAGGGGGGUGGAAUUCCAGGUGUAGCAGUGAAAUGCGUAGAGAUCUGGAGGAACACCGAUGGCGAAGGCAGCCCCCUGGGCUAACACUGACGCUCAUGCACGAAAGCGUGGGGA